UUUCACACCAAAAUUUGUCCCGAUCCUAUCCCGUCUCUCUCAACCCCUUCACAUUUUCCCUCCCCACCCUAAUCCAAGUCUGAAUCAGGCUCUCCCCUCGCUCCUCCACUAGGUUGCCCGAUCCAUGGUUGCCGACGUUCUCCGUCUCGAGGCCGUCAGCCGUACCUCAGGGUGCCCUCUUCCAACGACCACGGCUGCUUCCCACCUCCCCACCUCAGCCCUACCUCCGGCGAGCACUGAAUCCAUGUGCGGGCCUCCUCCUGGUCGCCGAUGCCAGCCCAGAUCGAUGACAACAGCUAGGAGAAAGAGCAGAUGCAGGCUAUAGAUCUGGCUGUGAACAGGGGUUUUGCACGGACGUUGUAAACAUGUGGGCGCUCACUUAUUUGGAGUUGGAUUAUACUGUUAAUUUUAGAUGCUAGCAUGGUUGACAUGCAGAAACUUCACAUGCAUGGAAGAUAUGUACUACGUACAAUUCAUUUGCAACAUCUGUACUCUAAGUGCUUCUAUACAUUUUUCAAACUUGAUUGUAGACCUGGCUGUUCCUUUGUACAUCUGUACUGCAAUGUUGUGUGUACGUCUAGAGGUUUCUUGGCGGACUGCUAGCUGUGUGCAUUGAUGUAUCUUUCCCGGUUAUAUUUACUGUCAAAACGAGCACAUGUAAGUUGUUUGGUUAACAAACUAAUGGAAGGUAUUUCAAGUGUU